UACGUAGGUGGCAAGCGUUAUCCGGAUUUAUUGGGCGUAAAGGGAACGCAGGCGGUCUUUUAAGUCUGAUGUGAAAGCCUCCGGCUUAACCGGAGUAGUGCAUUGGAAACUGGGAGACUUGAGUGCAGAAGAGGAGAGUGGAACUCCAUGUGUAGCGGUAAAAUGCGUAGAUAUAUGGAAGAACACCAGUGGCGAAAGCGGCUCUCUGGUCUGUAACUGACGCUGAGGUUCGAAAGCGUGGGUAGCAAACAGG
rnacentral:rRNA from 1 species